rnacentral:rRNA from 1 species
UACGUAGGGUGCAAGCGUUAGUCGGAAUUACUGGGCGUAAAGCGUGCGCAGGCGGUGAUGUAAGACAGGUGUGAAAUCCCCGGGCUUAACCUGGGAACUGCAUUUGUGACUGCAUCGCUGGAGUGCGGCAGAGGGGGAUGGAAUUCCGCGUGUAGCAGUGAAAUGCGUAGAUAUGCGGAGGAACACCGAUGGCGAAGGCAAUCCCCUGGGCCUGCACUGACGCUCAUGCACGAAAGCGUGGGGAGCAAACAGG